UACGGGGGGAGCAAGCGUUGUUCGGAUUUACUGGGCGUAAAGCGUGCGCAGGCGGCGCGUUAAGACAGGUGUGAAAGCCCCGAGCUUAACUUGGGAAUUGCGCUUGUGACUGGCGUGCUGGAGUGUGGCAGAGGGAGGUGGAAUUCCACGUGUAGCAGUGAAAUGCGUAGAGAUGUGGAGGAACACCGAUGGCGAAGGCAGCCUCCUGGGCCAACACUGACGCUCAUGCACGAAAGCGUGGGGAGCAAACAGG
rnacentral:rRNA from 1 species